UCCCUGGUGGCUCAGACGGUAAAGCGUCUGCCUACAAUGUGGGAGACCCAGGUUCAAUUCCUGGGUCUGGAA
rnacentral:tRNA from 1 species